rnacentral:rRNA from 1 species
UACGGAGGGUGCGAGCGUUGUCCGGAAUCACUGGGCGUAAAGGGCGUGUAGGCGGUCAAGUAAGUGGAAUGUGAAAUGCCCCGGCUCACCCGGGGACCUGCAUCCCAAACUGCUUGGCUUGAGUCCGGAAGAGGAGAGUGGAAUUCCUGGUGUAGCGGUGAAAUGCGCAGAUAUCAGGAAGAACACCCGUGGCGAAGGCGGCUCUCUGGGACGGUACUGACGCUGAGACGCGAAAGCGUGGGGAGCGAACAGG